ACCUAGCUGGCUCAGUCAGUAGAGCAUGAGACUCUGGAUCUUGGGGUUGUGAGUUUGAGCUCCAUGUUGAGUG
rnacentral:tRNA from 1 species